AUGCUGGAGCUCCAAGGAGUGUGUUCAGGAGCCGUGCAGCUGCACUCGGCUGCCAGUCCCAAGCCCAAGUCCCUGGCCUUGGACCCAGCCAGCCCCAGUCUCUUCCCACUCAGUCUCCAAAGCACCGACCCAGCCAGUCAUGUGGCCAUCGGCUGCCUGGUCCAGGGCUUCUUCCCACCAGGGUCCGUGAACAUGACCUGGGACCACAACGGGAAAGGCACCUCCAUCAGCAACUUCCCCACAGUGCAAGCCGCCAGGGGCCUGUACACCAUGAGCAGCCAGCUGACCCUGCCGGCCGACCAGUGCCCAGAGAAGCAGUCUCGGAAAUGCCACGUGAAGUACAGCUCCAACCCCAGCCAGUUCGUGGACGUGCCCUGCCUCACCCCUAAAGGUCCGGCCAGGGAGGGCAGGGUGCGAAAACCCUGCUGCCAGCCCCAGCUGACGCUGCAUCGGCCCACCCUCGAGGACCUGCUCCUGAGCUUCAAUGCCAAUGUCACAUGCACACCAAGGGUACCACCUUCACCUGGGAGCCCACAGGUGGGAUGGACGCUAUCCGGAGGACACCUGAGCAUGACUCCUUUGGCUGCUACAGCGUGUCCAGUGUCCUGUCAGGCUGCGCCGAGCUGCGGAACCGUGGGGUCACCUUCUCAUGCACUGCCACCUAUCCUGGCUCUAAGAGCCCGCUAACAGCAACCAUCGCCAAAGCCUCAGGGAGCCUCUCGCCACCCAAGGUCCACCUGCUGUCGCCACCCUCGGAGGAGCUGGCCCUCAACGAGAUGGUGACACUGACCUGCUUGGUGCGGGGCUUCAGCCCCAGUGACCUGCUGGUGCUGUGGCAGCACGGGAGCUGGGAGCUGUCCCAAGAGAAGUACCUGACCUGGAGCCCCCUGCACAAGUCCGGCCCCGGCAACACAUUCGCCGUGACCAGCGUGCUGCGCAUGGAGGCCAAGCAGUGGAGGAACGGGGACAACUUCUCCUGCACGGUGGGCCACGAGGCGCUACCCCAGAACUUCACCCAGAAGACCAUCGACCGCCUGGCAGGUAAACCCAGCCACAUCAACGUGUCCGUGAUCUUGGCAGAGGUGGAUGGCACCUGCUACGGAGCGGCCACGCCUGCCCACCCUGCCCUCGAAUAA